CCAUCACUGACUACUACAGAGAUAGUAGAGGUGAGAAGACACCAUCACUGACUACUACAGAGAUAGUAGAGGUAAGAACACACCAUCACUGACUACUACAGAGAUAGUAGAGGUAAGAACACACCAUCACUGACUACUACAGAGAUAGUAGAGGUAAGAACACACCAUCACUGACUACUACAGAGAUAGUAGAGGUGAGAAGACACCAUCACUGACUACUACAGAGAUAGUAGAGGUAAGAACACACCAUCACUGACUACUACAGAGAUAGUAGAGGUGAGAAGACACCAUCACUGACAACUACAGAGAUAGUAGAGGUGAGAAGACACCAUCACUGACUACUGCUGUACAGAGAUAGUAGAGGUGAGAACACACCAUCACUGACUACUGCUGUACAGAGAUAGUAGAGGUAAGAACAUACCAUCACUGACUACUACAGAGAUAGUAGAGGUGAGAAGACACCAUCACUGACUACUACAGAGAUAGUAGAGGUGAGAAGACACCAUCACUGACUACUACAGAGAUAGUAGAGGUAAGAACAUACCAUCACUGACUACUACAGAGAUAGUAGAGGUGAGAAGACACCAUCACUG
ensembl:lncRNA